AUAAAAAAGUCGCUAAAAAUGGACAAAACGUAAAGGCUAUAACAGCCUUUACUUUUUGUCCAUUUUUAGCGACUUUUUUCAUU